rnacentral:rRNA from 2 species
AUAAUUCUGGUUGAUCCUGCCAGAGGUUACUGCUAUCGGUGUUCGACUAAGCCAUGCUAGUUAAAUGUUCUUCGUGAACAUAGCGGACUGCUCAGUAACACGUGGACAAUCUGCCCUUGGGUUCAGCAUAACCCCGGGAAACUGGGGAUAAUUCUGAAUAGAUCACAUAUGCUGGAAUGCUUUGUGAUUAAAAGAUCCGUCGCCCAAGGAUGGGUCUGCGGCCUAUCAGGUUGUAGUGGGUCUAGAGUACCUACUAGCCAACGACGGGUACGGGUUGUGAGAGCAAGAGCCCGGAGAUGGAUUCUGAGACAUUAAUCCAGGCCCUACGGGGCGCAGCAGGCGCGAAACCUUUACACUGCGGGAAACCGCGAUAAGGGGACACCGAGUGCCAGCAUACAAUGCUGGCUGUCCACAUGUGUAAAUAGCAUGUGAUAGCAAGGGCCGGGCAAGACCGGUGCCAGCCGCCGCGGUAACACCGGCGGCCCGAGUGGUAAUCACUAUUAUUGGGUCUAAAGGGUCCGUAGCCGGUUUAAUCAGUCUUCCGGGAAAUCUGACAGCUCAACUGUUAGGCUACCGGGGGAUACUGUUAGACUUGGGACCGGGAGAGGUAAGAGGUACUACAGGGGUAGGAGUGAAAUCUUGUAAUCCCUGUGGGACCACCAGUGGCGAAGGCGUCUUACCAGAACGGGUCCGACGGUGAGGGACGAAAGCUGGGGGCACGAACCGGAUUAGAUACCCGGGUAGUCCCAGCCGUAAACGAUGCUCGCUAGGUGUCUGGAAUGGUGCGACCGUUUCAGGUGCCGCAGGGAAGCCGUGAAGCGAGCCACCUGGGAAGUACGGCCGCAAGGCUGAAACUUAAAGGAAUUGGCGGGGGAGCACUACAACGGGUGGAGCCUGCGGUUUAAUUGGACUCAACGCCGGACAACUCACCGGGGGCGACAGCAAUAUGUAGGUCAAGCUAAAGACUUUACCUGAAUCGCUGAGAGGAGGUGCAUGGCCGUCGUCAGUUCGUACUGUGAAGCAUCCUGUUAAGUCAGGCAACGAGCGAGACCCGUGCCCACUGUUGCCAGCAUAUCCUUUUUGGAUGAUGGGUACUCUGUGGGGACCGCCGAUGCUAAAUCGGAGGAAGGUGCGGGCUACGGUAGGUCAGUAUGCCCCGAAUCUCCCGGGCUACACGCGGGCUACAAUGGUUGGGACAAUGGGCUCCUACACUGAAAAGUGACGGUAAUCUCAUAAACCCAGCCGUAGUUCGAAUUGAGGGCUGAAACCCGCCCUCAUGAAGCUGGAAUCCGUAGUAAUCGCGUUUCAAUAUAGCGCGGUGAAUACGUCCCUGCUCCUUGCACACACCGCCCGUCAAACCACCCGAGUGAGGUAUGGGUGAGGGCGCGGACUUUAGUGCUGCGUUCGAACCUAAAUUUCGCAAGGGGGGUUAAGUCGUAACAAGGUAGCCGUAGGGGAAUCUGCGGCUGGAUCACCUCCUAAGCAA